ACCACCACAGACGUCACAAACGUCCUCGUUGCUUUCGCUCUCAGCGUCGACGUUGCCGUUGCCGGUACCGGUGCGCAGUCGGUGGUCGUGGUCGGUGUUAGGUGGUUAGAGGGAAACAGAUUUGACAGUUGGGCAGCGACGCCUGCGGACGAUAAACGCGGUUCCGUCCACGUGCUCCGGCACAGACGCCGGCGGGGGGGGGAGACGAAAAUAACCGGUAUUUUUAACGGACGCGAUCGUCGGGAUCUCGAUAUCGCUGAGAUUUCGCUCGUGACCGGAUAACAACCGAACCAGUCCCGAAGCCACGCAAACAACGGUGACGUACGAACGCGUAAACGACGAGCAGAGGACGUUAGGCUCUCCGUGCUCGAUCCACACGUCGCGCGGCAGCCCGAGUCUUGGCCGUGUUUUUCCGUGUUUUCUCGCCGCGGGCCGUUGUACCGCGCGCGCGACCCCUGUUUCGUGCCCAAACACUCAGCCCGACCGACCGUUGGAACGCAAACAGAAUAAGAAAAUAACAGAAGCCUCGAAGAAUCAGUCUCUCGUGUCUAUCGUCGUAGGUGAUCGAAACCCGAGGAUGGUUACGUUUCGCGAUGGAACACGCACUCGACCGUGAACGGUGAUUCGUACGGAAGAGUGGAUCGUGUGCCUGCGAGUAUCGGUGCUUACAAGUACAAGUGCCGUCGAUAGUAAAUAGUAUCGAGCAUUUUUCUCGUGUUCGCGAUACCUACGGUUCGUGAUAGCUGUAUCGAAAAGGAAAUUCUCGCGAAGAACGCUGCGUUUUGGGGUUAGGUUGUUUUAGAUUAGAGCCGGGGCCAAGUGGAGUCGCGCGCGCGUGCCCGUGCCCGCGCACGUGCCCCUAAUCGAUCCGCCGAAUCGAUCCACGAUCGUAGCAGUGGGGUUUCGCGGAAGAAGAGCCUUGGCGUCGUUUCGGGACGCGUAAAUAACGAAGGGGGGCGGCUGUGGACCGUGCGUCGUGCGACAAGGUGACCCUACGGCAGGAGUCCCGAGACGAUGAGCGACGGCAUAGUCGGUGCAAUCGCGAUCAGUUUGUUCGGCAGUGACAAGAAACGUCGGGAGAGCAUGGACGCCGGUUACACGAUUCUUGGCAACGACGUCGACGUCUGCAGAAUGUUCGACCAGUUCUCUUACAAGCUACCGAGUUCGAGCUAUACGGAAAAGCUAUUUGGAAAUGUUUCGUUUUCGCGAAGCACGGAACCGUUGACGCUCCUCGAACGGAUCGUGUCGCAUCGGCUAGAAUCGGAUCGGAUCGGAUCGGAUCGGAUCGGAUCGAGUACGCGCAUUCCCAUAGCAACGAUCUCAAUCAGAUAGGAACUAGCAGAACGGAGAACAGAGAACAAGCUAGGUAAUGUAUUCGAUACAGGUAAUAUAUAGCGCUCCAGAUACAAUAUUUAUGUCUCGACGUAUUUCGCUAGCAGCCCAUUAUUCAUUCCGUAGCGGUGAAUAAGCAUUUCAGAGUAUCGUAUCGCGUUCAGUGGCGUGCGUCUGCUCUUUCUUACGGCUACGAAUUUCUAUAUUCGACUAGCGAUUCCCCAUUCAUCAUUCCUUUUCAACUAUUUAUUAUUAUUAUUAUUAUUAUUAUUAUUAUUACUAACAUACACUAUCGCAUAAAGUUAUAUCUAAAACUAACCUAACAAAUGAUGCAAAGAAUCGUGCGAGCAGUAUAAAUGCGUACGCAAAAAAAAUUACGGCGCAUACACAAUGUAUCAUGAAUUCAUCAGGCACGCGCGUGUUGACGAUUGGCCGACGAGAAAGAGACAGCGCGCGACAGAGGGAAAGAGCGAGAAAGGAGGGUGGGUGGGAUCUAGAAAAGCAGGGAGGAAAGCUAAGAACGGUCCGAUCCGCAGGGCAGACAAGAUUUCACACUUGUUGCUCCCUUCUUGGUGUUACAUGAAAAGCUCGUUUAUCCGAAGAAUUUCCUACGGUCAAAAGGUCACAUGGUCACGAUGCACGAUAUUCUUCCUCGUUCGUCGCUCUCCUUUUUCUACCCGCGCUAACCCGUUCCUCUCAUCUCGGUUCUCACUUUUCACCUUGAGACAGACUCGAGCUAAACAAAGUCCGAUAUUACGAUUAUCGAAUAAACGGUACGACGUUAAUUUAUCCUCUUCAAUCACCAUCGCGAUGCUUCGUAGAAUAAAAAUAUGUAUGAUAUCAAAGUGGGACGGUAUAUUUGUAUGUCGAAAUCUAUUUGCAGAUUAAAAUUGUUUUGGAUGAAAUUGUAUGUAUACCGUUCGUCUGUAUACAUAUGUAUAUUUCCAUAAUCACAUCGAUUUUUCCAAACACGUAUUAAGCGAACCGGAAAUGGCUGGAAAACAGUGUAUAUCGUUUAAUAAAAUGAUGGCAGGUUACGAAUGUAGGUUAUGUUUACCGAUUAAUCCGACAAGAGUGAGCGAUGCUUAGAAAAAGUAAUCGCAGAGUAAUCGUAACGUAAUCACUGCCGAUUCCUGCUUCCUACUAUUUGCCGAUUGCGGUAAGGUAAGUGGAAAUUGAGCUUUACUUGUUCGCGGAACAUGAAACAGAGGGAGUUGUUCGAUAGAAUAGCUGGAACGAAUUAGAAGCGGGGAACGCGAGAGGAACGGAUCGCGGGAACGGAGAAACGCUCGCUUACCGUGACUGGUAAUAAGAGAUCUGCGAAAGAUAAGCGAACCCUCGCGUAAUAAGUAAAACCGGUUUAAGAGACCGUCGACGAUAAUACGAAUCGACGUACACGCUGGAUAAAGACGAAAUGCUUUUGCGAGUUGCGCAUUCGCCUCGACUCCGGGACCCCGAGUCCGGGCACCGGGGGGAGGGGGGGGGGGCACUGGAAACGCAAACGUGUGCAAACAUAACGAAAAAACGCGAAAUUUGUUCGACUGAGAAAAAGAGAAAAUCGCUGGCCGCGAUAAGCCUCCGGCGAUUAUCAGCUGUGUAAACGCUCGCCCAAAGAAAUUUGUAAGAUCAACAUUUACUCGAGAUGCUGAAAAACACCGUUAGCGGAUUCUCGAAUUGGACAGAAGGGCAAUACCGUGUCUAGGGAUUUCGGCGCCUUGGGGCAAUAGUGGAACGUGGGCGGUUUUGGCUCGAUUCACUGGUUAAAACUGCGCACGGAAAACAACGAUAACUAGUUACUAGUAAUUUUUCGUAUUCCUGUUGCAUUCGAUAUAUACCGAUGAGUACUUUUUCUUAGAAAUUGUCUUAUGCGUUUAGUCGGAAACUUUGAGAAAUUCGAAUGUCAUUUGAAUAAUCCGAGUCGUACUUGUAACGAAAUGGUGGAAUUGUGGGAUCAUUGGUAAGAAUUGAUGCGGACAAGAACGUCUCGACUUUGGUCGACUCGAUGGCCAAGUC